CCUACGGGGGGCUGCAGUGGGGAAUAUUGCACAAUGGGGGAAACCCUGAUGCAGCGACGCCGCGUGAGUGAAGAAGUAAUUCGUUAUGUAAAGCUCUAUCAGCAGGGAAGAAAAUGACGGUACCUGACUAAGAAGCUCCGGCUAAAUACGUGCCAGCAGCCGCGGUAAUACGUAGGGGGCAAGCGUUAUCCGGAUUUACUGGGUGGAAAGGGAGCGUAGACGGCAGUGCAAGUCUGAAGUGAAAGGCGGGGGCUCAACCCCCGGACGGCUCUGGAAACUGGACGGCUGGAGUGCAGGAGAGGAAAGUGGAAUUCCUAGUGUAGCGGUGAAAUGCGCAGAGAUUAGGAGGAACACCAGUGGCGAAGGCGACUUACUGGACUGUAACUGACGUUGAGGCUCGAAAGCGUGGGGAGCAAACAGGAUUAGAUACCCGAGUAGUC
rnacentral:rRNA from 1 species